rnacentral:piRNA from 1 species
GCAGAGCACAUGGCGAAAAACUGCCCC